rnacentral:lncRNA from 1 species
CCGGACGGCUCCUCCCCAGCCAGGCUGCUCCGCCAGCUCCGGGAGGGCGCUCACCGGCUGCUGUCAGCACAGGGGCCCUUGGGGAGGGUGCCUGGCCGCUCCCGUGCUCUCCUCCCGGGCACACGGCGCCGUGUGGAGGAGCGCCGGGCUUUGCUCGCUCGGCCCAGACUCCUCUCCAGCCGGCGCUCGGCCGCCGAGGUGCACAGGCUGGGCUGGCUCUGCCUCUCGCCCCGCUGGCCGGAGCAGGGUGGGGGUCGGAACCUGGGCCGGAAGCAAAGUCCGCUGCUGCGCCUUUUCCUUGCGGGGAGGCCCGGGUGGCCCCGAGGGCUCCCCUCCUGAGGGGCUCCCCGCCACCUCAAGCUCCUCGCUGAGCGCAGCAGCCACUCAGGCAGUGCUGGCCGGCCGAGCGGGCCCUGUGAGAGCAGCGCGUGUGACACCUUGUCGGUGUCGGCUCCUGGAUCUGUGUAAUUAGCACGGCUGCUCUGGCCGGGGCGAUGCUGUCUGUGGCGGUCAGAGCAGGAAGACAGCUCCCUGUCUGCAGACUGGAUCGGGCCAUCGCACGGUCUCAGACUCCUCUCCUGGCUUAGGGACCAGGGUGCCGACCACAGCCCCGUGGAUAGGAGGAGAACUGCAGCGGCCAGGCGAGACGUGAACUGUGCUGCGGACACCCGUGUGGACCCUGGGGCUCCCAGCAAGUGUGGGCACUGCUGAGGGGCCAGGAACCCCUCACCCCAAGGCCCUGCCUGCAUCUCCCAAGCUGCACCACCUGGGAGGCGCCAUGGCGCCCGAGAGCAGCUUAGGCGCGUCCGACCUCGUGCGUCUCCUCGUGGCCUUUCACACAUCCAGCAAAGCCCAGCCUGGGGCAGACGUGCGUCUCAGCUGGGUUCCUCCUGUGGCCACGGCAGAGACCACGCCCCCAUCCCCGAGCCCUGGGGACACUGCAGGCCCACACGUGGCCCUGCUCAGCUCCCUUGCCGAGGCCUCCAGGUGAGGCGCAGCAGGAGGCACCCAGUGGGGCAUCUGCUUGGGCGGAUGGUGCAGCACGGAGGCCCAGGCCGGCCUGGGAAGGACCUGUCCUGUGGGGCUCAUGGACCCCCACAUGUGGUGUCGUCGAGGUCACCUGUGUGCACCCCGCACCUCUCACACCUGUGUAUUGAUGAGCUGCUUCCUGAUGCUGCGAGGGCCUGAGAACCCCAGAGGACACGGGUCCCAUGAGGUCACACGCGGGUCAUGCAUGGUCACAGCAUCACGCCUGCUACAGAGGGCCACCGAGGCCGGAAAGGCAGAGACUGCAGCCAGCGGGAGGGCGGAGGCACGGCGCCCUGUCUGGGCCACCAUGGCCACAGGCAGGGCCCAUGUCCCCAACAUGCGCUUCCUGCCGGGGAGAGCCCGGCUUGGAGAGGCCAGCAGCGCGACCUCGGGGCUGCUUUGACCUUGGGCCUCUGGACUUCCUGGCCCAGGCCGUCCUCUCUUUGGGGAGCAGCUCUCUCCGAACUCCUGCCGUGGGAGCCCCGCUGGCCAAGGCUGGGCAGGCGAGUGUGUCCCUGGAAGACAGAACAGACAAGCCCAGAUCCUGGCAAAGUCACCAGCACCACGGUUGGCUCGGGCACCUCUGAGCCGCUCUUCGGAGCAGCCGGGCUGACCCUCCAGUGCGCCGUGGGCGGUCACCUGCCACCCGCCUCGGGCUCUGUGCGGCUGAGCUUCAGCGAAGGCUGAACCGUCAACCUCGCCCUGAAGGCCGGCGCUGUCACCUGGGCUCAGGGUUGCGGGAGCCCGGCCUCUGGAGCCAGGGCAGGAGCAAGUCCCUCCCACCUCGCCGGGGUGGUGCGUGCGGCUUUGCUUUCUGCUGCCUUUCGUCAGGCUUGUGUUUCAUGAGAAGAAACGGCGGUCGGGAAAUCCCUGGCUUUCUCGUGGGGACACAGCUCCCCGUGUGGUUGGGACGCGGAAUUGGGAACCGCGUGGUGUCUGGGCCCUCUUCUUCCAGCCCGCUGGGUUUGCCUCUUCCCAGGAGUCAGAAGCAGCGCUGCCGAGUACGGAGUUGCAGCUCCACGUCAGUGGUUUCCUUCUUUUUUUUUUUUCUUUUGGUACCGGGGAUCGAACUCGGGUCCUUGCGCUUGCGCAGCAGGCGGUGAAACCACUGAGCUAAAUUCCCGGCCCCUGGAUCCUUCUUUUACGGAGAGAGGAGUGUGUGCGCAUGCGUGCUGCCAGCACCCAUCCCUUAAAACAGCGGAAGCAGGUUUAGCUCAUUUCCCUCUAAGAUCACUGCAGCUCUGACUCAGACGGCGCAUACUUCAUGG